rnacentral:rRNA from 1 species
CGGCGGACGGGUGAGUAACGCGUGGGUAACCUGCCUCAUACAGGGGGAUAACAGUUAGAAAUGGCUGCUAAUACCGCAUAAGACCACAGUACUGCAUGGUACAGUGGUAAAAACUCCGGUGGUAUGAGAUGGACCCGCGUCUGAUUAGGUAGUUGGCGAGGUAACGGCCCACCAAGCCGACGAUCAGUAGCCGACCUGAGAGGGUGACCGGCCACAUUGGGACUGAGACACGGCCCAG